UACGAAGGGGGCUAGCGUUGUUCGGAUUUAUUGGGCUUAAAGGGUGCGUAGGCGGCUUUUUAAGUCAGGGGUGAAAGACGGUAGCUCAACUAUCGCAGUGCCCUUGAUACUGAAGAGCUUGAAUGUACUUGAGGUAGGCGGAAUGUGACAAGUAGCGGUGAAAUGCAUAGAUAUGUCACAGAACACCAAUUGCGAAGGCAGCUUACUAAAGUAUGAUUGACGCUGAGGCACGAAAGCGUGGGGAUCAAACAGG
rnacentral:rRNA from 1 species